CAAAAACUCCCUUAGUUGAAGAGAAAACUCAACUAGAAGUUCCUCAUACAAAUCCUUCACCCUUUUUCCCUUAAGAAGUUUCCUUUUUGUGAAAUAAGUCCAAAGUUUGAUCACAAGACCUUCUGAGUUCCUUAAGUAUUGAGUAGAUGCUUGGGGAAACGGGAUGAACCUACUAGAUAAAAUAAUAUUUUUCUACUACUAUUUCUAGUAAAUACUUGUACUGAUUCGAAUUUUGCUUAACUUUGGUUAUGUAAAUAUAUUACCGAUAUUUGUUUUCUAAUAAAAGUACUAUUCAAACA